CCUACGGGAGGCUGCAGUAGGGAAUCUUGCGCAAUGGGCGAAAGCCUGACGCAGCGACGCCGCGUGAGGGAUGAAGGCUUUCGAGUUGUAAACCUCUUUCAGCAGGGACGAAGCCCUUUGGGUGACGGUACCUGCAGAAGAAGCCCCGGCCAACUACGUGCCAGCAGCCGCGGUAAUACGUAGGGGGCGAGCGUUGUCCGGAUUUAUUGGGCGUAAAGCGCGCGUAGGCGGCCGUCCACGUCGGGUCUGAAAGCUCGAAGCUCAACUUUGAGAGGCGACUCGAUACGGGACGGCUAGAGGCAGCUAGGGGAAAGCGGAAUUCCUGGUGUAGCGGUGAAAUGCGCAGAUAUCAGGAGGAACACCGGUGGCGAAGGCGGCUUUCUGGGGCUGUCCUGACGCUGAGGCGCGAAAGCUGGGGGAGCGAACAGGAUUAGAUACCC
rnacentral:rRNA from 1 species